rnacentral:rRNA from 1 species
GAUGAACGCUGGCGGCGUGCCUAAUACAUGCAAGUCGAGCGAACGGACGAGAAGCUUGCUUCUCUGAUGUUAGCGGCGGACGGGUGAGUAACACGUGGAUAACCUACCUAUAAGACUGGGAUAACUUCGGGAAACCGGAGCUAAUACCGGAUAAUAUUUUGAACCGCAUGGUUCAAAAGUGAAAGACGGUCUUGCUGUCACUUAUAGAUGGAUCCGCGCUGCAUUAGCUAGUUGGUAAGGUAACGGCUUACCAAGGCAACGAUGCAUAGCCGACCUGAGAGGGUGAUCGGCCACACUGGAACUGAGACACGGUCCAGACUCCUACGGGAGGCAGCAGUAGGGAAGCUUCCGCCAUGGGCGAAAGCCUGACGGAGCAACGCCGCGUGAGUGAUGAAGGUCUUCGGAUCGUAAAACUCUGUUAUUAGGGAAGAACAUAUGUGUAAGUAACUGUGCACAUCUUGACGGUACCUAAUCAGAAAGCCACGGCUAACUACGUG